AUCAACGCUGGCGGCGCGCCUAACACAUGCAAGUCGAACAGAGGAAAGCCGGGGCAACCUGGUGAGUACAGUGGCGUACGGGUGAGUAACACGUGGGUAAUCUACCCUCCUUGUGGGGAAUAACUUUGGGAAACCGGAGCUAAUACCCACAUAAGCUCGAGAGAGGAAAGCAGCAAUGCGCCGGGAGAGGAGCCCGCGGCCGAUUAGCUAGUUGGCAGGGUAAAGCCUACCAAGGCAAGAUCGGUAGCCGGCCUGAGAGGGCACACGGCCACACUGGCACUGAAACACGGGCCAGACUCCUACGGGAAGGCAGGCAGUGGGGAAUCUUGCACAAUGGGGGAAACCCUGAUGCAGCGACGCCGCGUGAGCGAUGAAGCCCUUCGGGGUGUAAGCUCUUUCGGCAGGGAAGAUGAUGACGGUACCUGCAGAAGCAGCUGCGGCUAACUACGUGCCAGCAAGCCCGCGGUAAUACGUAGGCAGCAAGCGUUGUUCGGAGUUACUGGGCGUAAGGGUGUGUAGGCGGUUGCUUAAGUUUGGUGUGAAAUCUCCCGGCUCAACUGGGAGGGUGCGCCGAAUACUGAGAUGACUCGAGUGGCGGGAGAGGAAAGUGGAAUUCCUGGUGUAGCGGUGAAAUGCGUAGAUAUCAGGAGGAACAUCGGUGGUGUAGACGGCUUUCUGGACCGUAACUGACGCUGAGACACGAAAGCGUGGGUAGCAACAGGAUUAGAUACCUGGUAGUCCCACGCCCUAACGAUGCAUAUUUGGUGUGGGUCAUUCAGUUGAUCCGUGCCGGAGCUAACGCGUUAAAUAUGCCGCCUGGGGAGUACAGUCGCAAGGCUGAAACUCAAAGGAAUUGACGGGGGCCCGCACAAGCGUGGAGCAUGUGGUUCAAUUCGACGCAACGCGAAGAACCUUACCUGGGCUCGAACGGCUGGUCAACGGCGGUGGAAAACACUGUUACCCCCGCAAGGGGGUCCAGUCGAGGUGCGCAUGCUGUCGUCAGCUCGUGUCGUGAGAUGUUGGGUUAAGUCCCGCAACGAGCGCAACCCUUGUCCUGUGUUGCCAUGCCGAAAGGCGGAACUCGCAGGAGACCGCCAGCGAUAAGCUGGAGGAAGGUGGGGAUGACGUCAAGUCCUCAUGGCCUUUAUGUCCAGGGCUACACACGUGCUACAAUUGGACGGUACAAAGCGCAGGCGAACCCGCGAGGGGGAGCCAAUCGCAAAAAAACCGUUUCUCAGUUCGGAUUGCAGGCUGCAACUCGCCUGCAUGAAGCUGGAAUCGCUAGUAAUGGCAGAUCAGCACGCUGCCGUGAAUACGUUCCCGGGCCUUGUACACACCGCCCGUCACAUCACGAAAGUGGAUUGUACUAGAAGUCUGCAGGCCGACCCGCAAGGGGGGCAGCGGCCCAAGGUAUGAUCCAUGAUUGGGGUG
rnacentral:rRNA from 1 species